rnacentral:rRNA from 1 species
GACGAACGCUGGCGGCGUGCUUAACACAUGCAAGUCGAACGGAAAGGCCCUGCUUGUGUGGGGUGCUCGAGUGGCGAAGGGGUGAGUAACACGUGAGUAACCUGCCCUGGACUUGGGGAUAACUUCAGGAAACUGGGGCUAAUACCGGAUAGGAGCGCCUGCUGCAGGGUGGGGGUUGGAAAGUUUCGGCGGAUGGGGAUGGACUCGCGGCUUAUCAGCUUGUUGGUGGGGUAGUGGCUUACCAAGGCUUUGACGGGUAGCCGGCCUGAGAGGGUGACCGGCCACAUUGGGCCUGAGAUACGGCCCAGACUCCUACGGUAGGCAGCGGGGGGGAAUAUUGCACAAUGGGCGGAAGCCUGAUGCAGCAACGCCGCGUGCGGGAUGACGGCCUUCGGGUUGUAAACCGCUUUCGCCUGUGACGAAGCGUGAGUGACGGUAAUGGGUAAAGAAGCACCGGCUAACUACGUG